rnacentral:rRNA from 1 species
UACGUAGGGGGCAAGCGUUGUCCGGAUUCAUUGGGCGUAAAGAGCUCGUAGGCGGCUUGGCAAGUCGGGUGUGAAACCUCCAGGCUCAACCUGGAGACGCCACCCGAUACUGCUAUGGCUAGAGUCCGGUAGGGGACCACGGAAUUCCCGGUGUAGCGGUGAAAUGCGUAGAGAUCGGGAGGAACACCAGAGGCGAAGGCGGCGACCUGGACAAGUACUGACACUCAACUACGAAAGCGUGGGGAGCAAACAGG